ACACACACACAAACACACACACACACACACACACACACACACACACACACACACUCAUGGUAACCAGUUCAGGAUGGACAAAGAAACAGUCACAGUCUUUUUUGGGAACACACUCCCCUGUGACACUUAGAUCCUAAUGCUGACUCCAAUUCCCUCCUGGGACCUCCCCUCUCCUUGCGGCAUGCUGGGCUUUCCCUUAGAAAACCCCAUGUCAUUUCCUUCAAUGGAACAUGAAUCAGCUUCACCCACAGUGUCUGCAUGUCUCUGUCCAUAGCAAACGUUUUUAUUACCUUAAAAUAUAGAUCUUUACCUUAACUAGCCAAGACCUAGGACCCUUUUUCCAAGCUCUUUUAGAUGAAGUAAUAAAUGCAAAUAUUAGAGAUGUGUAUAUGUGUAUAAAUAUAUGGAGAAAAGAUGUUGCCUAGUUGUACAAAUUAGCUUUAAUACAACUCCUGAUUUAAAUUAUUUAAUUGUGAGAAGGGCGAUUCUAACUCAACACACCAACGAAAUAAAAGCCUUAUCCCUCUGCUCCGCCAAAAUAUCCCAUUUAGAGCCUGCGUGUGUGUGUACACACACGUGUGCACUCAUCCCCACCUGACCGUAUCAAAUUAUUAUUUAAACUAGAUAUUUUUACUUUGUUGCAUAGUAGUAAUGGUUUCUGGAAUGAAAAAAUAAAAAACAGGAGAAUAAAACUGUUUAAAUGUAUCUCCGGGUGAACGCUGUGGCCACUGCACGGACCCCGUCGAUGGCGCCCAGUACCUGCGUCUCAGGAAGAGGUUCUGGCGGGGCCUCCGCCUGAGGCCGCGCCCCUGGGACCUGUCCCGCGUCCACGUGAAUGCGGAGCGCAGCAUUCACCAUCCCCUCCCUGAAACAGCGGUCCCCGAGGUGCUCCACAGGCAGGGCCGAGCUGGGCAAGGGGGAGCCCAGCCCCUGCACGGGCCGCCCUGAGCAGCGGGGACGCAGGAAGAGCUCGCUGGCUCCACCAGCCCCUACCCCAGAUGCGGGACCUCAGACCAGCAAGGACCUGGAGCCCCCACCCCACGGUUGCCAGGAGGCGGACAGGGGCGGCUCCUGGGGGGCUACCACCUCGAGGCCGUUCCGCCAGAACUUGAGCGACUUGGGAAGGCACAGUGUCCUGCCCUUGAAGAGGAACCUGUGUCCUGGAGGCAGCAGCCUGGGAGCUCCUCCUCUGAGGACACCGCAGAGGCGAGUGACUCUGGCGGCGCAGCGCUGGCUUUCCCGUCCGCAGAGGAGAGCUGUGGGGCUGGGUGAGCUGGACCAGGGAGCACAGCUGGCUGCUCUCGGCCUCCGAUGGGGAGUGGACAGCUUAGGGGGUUGCCCCCGUGCCAGCCAGCCUGCUGGCCACUCUGGGCUUCAUCACACCCUCACCUGCCUGCGCAGGCACCUAGCACUGCAGGCUGGAGCUUCUGGCCAUGCUGGUCAACUUCCCCAACGAGCCUCUGCUGCCUGGGAACAGCAAGGCCAGAGCUACACCGCCCUGCACUUGGCAGCCAUGUACCUUGGAGAUGGUGAAGCUGCUAGUGGGAACAUAGGACGCCGAUGUUGACAUCAGGGACUACACUGGGAAAAGGGCCUCCCAGCAUGUGAGUCAGAGCAUCACAGAAGAGAUUGAGACCCUGAUGGGAGUCCUGGACAAGGACGAUGGGGAGAGCACCGCCAGCAGCGGGGGUGAGUACUGGAAGAUUUAAAAGCUGCCCCCUCCAUCUCACCACCUACAAACUCUCACACGUCCUGGAAGAUGGGGGGACCCUCUCCACCAUCACCACUUGGCUGAAGGUGGUCCAGACGUGAAGCCAAGGAUUCCAAGGCGCACAGCCUCGGGCAGGACUAAUGGACUUAAAAAACACAGGCUCAACAAAAUCCACUUCACAACCCAGAUGGUUCAUAUCACACCCUCUUUCAAGGACCCAGAGCAGCCACUGGAAGAGAAGGAGUAGGAACGCUCUCUUAAAGUCCACUUAUCCUAUUCCUUCAAAUUAAGACCAAAGUCCAAUGUAUUUAGGUAAAAAAUAAUUUCUUUUAGAAAAUGCUAAGGUUUGUCUUCUGAAAUUUAAUAACAGAAACAAAAAAAGAACACUAGAUGUAAUGAAGUGAGACCAGAAAAGACAAACUAAACUAUCCUUACUAGGUUGGAAUGGAUGGGGUGGAGUUCCUAUCAGGCUAGCAUUCUGGGGAAAGCUGUAUUUUUUUUUUUUGGCGGUGGGGGGAAGGUGUCUCACUCUGUCGCCCAGGCUGGAAUGCAGUGGCGCCAUCUCCGCUCACUGCAAGCUCAGCCCCUCGGGUUUAUGCCAUUCUCCAGCCCCAGCCUCCCAGUAGCUGGGACUACAGGCGUCCGCCACCACACACGGCUAAUUUUUUUGUAUUUUUAGUUGAGACGGUGUUUCACCGUGUUCUCCAGGAUGGUCUCGAUUCCUGAAUUCGUGAUCCGCCCGCCUCUGCCUCCCAAAGUGCUGGGAUUACAGGCGUGAGCCACUGCGCCUGGCCGGAUUUCUUUUUAAGAGAUUCAUCAUACCUUGACCUGUGCCCCAUUUCCCUCCUCCACCUGUCUGACCUGGCAUUCCUAUUUCGGGAGACCAGAAGUGGGGGGAAGAGAAGGGAUGACUGUUUCUUUGCUUUCACCAUUCCUGCAUGCCAUGCAAAGGAAGGAAUAUUGCGCUUUUAAAUAUCCGUUUUAUUAAGUAAGUGGUUACUCUUUCAAAGACAAAAAAAAUGCAAAUUGUUACAAAACUGGCAGUAUUUGUAAGUGCAAGCACUACACGCUGCCUUGUUCUUUUACCAAUUGCAUUUGCAUUUUAAGGUACUACUUGUACAGCCAUGGUGGAGAACAGUUUGGAGGUUCCUCUAAACACUGAAAAUAGAGGUGCCACAUGAUCCAGCAAUCCCACUGUUGGAUAUAUACCCCAGAAAUAAGAAAUGAGUAUAUCGAAGAAAUUAUCUGCACUCCCAUGUUGGUUGCACCACUGUUGACAAUAGCUAAGAUUUGGAAGCAACCUAAGUGUCCAUCAACAGAUUAAUGUAUUAAAGAAAAUGUGGUAGAUACACACAGUGGAGUAUUAUUCAGCCCUAAAAAAGAAUGAGAUUCAGUCAUUUGCAACAACAUGGAAGGAACUGGAUAUCAUUAUGUUAAGGGAAAUAAGCCAAGCACGGAAAGGCAGACAUUGCAUGUUCUCACUUAUUUGUGGGAUCUAAAAAUCAAAACAAUUGAACUCAUGGACAUAGUAAGUACUAGGGGGCUGGGGGGGGAGACAGGGCACGGGUAAUGGGUACAAAAAUAGGCAGAAGGAAUGAAUAAGACAUACUAUUUGAUAGCACAACAGGGGGACUCUAGUCAAUAAUUGUACAUUUAAAAAUAACUAAAAGAAUCUAAUUGGAUUGUAACACAAAGGAAACAUGCUUAAAGGGAUGGAUACCCACUCUCCAUGAUGUGAUUAGUUCAUGCUGCAUGCCUGUAUCAAAACAUCUCAUGCACCCCAUAAAUAUAUAUGCUUAUUAUAUACUCACAAAAAUGCUUGAAAAUAAAAAUAAAGGAACUACUGAAGGUCAGGUCAGAGUGGAAAUGUAAAAAUACUAAUUAGAGAAUAAUGUGAAUACAACAGGAAUCCUGUUGGUAUUCUAUUUAUAUUGUAAGCAGCAGUUCAAUUGUUUUGAAAAAGUAAUUUCAAUUUUAAUCACUGAACUAAAGAAAUGGGCAAGGCUGACUUCCGUAAUAUAGGUUCUACCUAACCAUCUCUAACACCGCUGUCAAGGAGGACCAGUGUUAAGGUACAUUACUAACAACCACACAAAUUUUUAAAAGAAAAGAACACUCUUAGCAGCCUAUGGUACUUUGAAAUGAAAUAUUGCCUCUCAUUCUCACUUGUGUUGCCAUUCCAAAAGUAUGAAUUUGCUGAGGUUUAUAUUCUGGGUAUUAUAUAACCAUUGGUUCUGUUUGGCAUAACCCUAUUAAAUGGUGCGCAGAGCUGAAUUACCUACAGAAACUUUCUGGUUUAAUUAGCAUAAAUUGGUAUAAAUAUUAGUGAGCCCAUACUUCUGUGAUAUAAUUAAACCAACUUAAUGAUUCUCACAUAAGGUGUCAAUUUAUUUUACUAAUGCAUUCAUAAUCUAUGCUUUGUAGCAACAUUUUUCAAAUGUUUAAAAUGCUAAAUCUUCUCAAUUUUCCAAUCUUUUCUUGAAUCUAUUAGAUACCUAUAGUGUAGUUACUGAAUAGCUGGGAAACAAAUACACCUAGUUAGAAAUGGCACUGCUUUAUAAAAGGCACUAGAGAAAAGACGAGACUAUUCCUAUAUUUAAAUGCUGCUGGCAAGUGAAUUCCUUGUAUAUAAAUGAAAGAUACCAUUCAUUAAAAUGAAAGACUUGUUUUAAGUGUGAUUCUUACAUUUCAUUCAUUUAUGAUAGAGUAAAUGGCUUUAUAAUUACUUUAAAAUUUAACUCACUAGUACAUUAAAUCUGUUCAUUGCAAGAUUAGAAUCAACUGUGAGGGGAACUAAUUUAAACAAGCCCUUCCUUAGUCUUAUUGAGUCUCAUAUUUGCUGAAAGUACCUACAGCUUGCAGGAUAAGGGAGUUCACGGACCAUAGGGUGAGUGAACCCAUGCACAAAUUGCAAACUGCCCAGAGCUACUACAUUUAGGAUUUUUAGACCUUUAAUUUUCCAAGUCAUAGAAAUGUGUUACAGGUUCAUCACAUCUUUGUCUACAUGGCAACUGAAUUUCUUUAAAGAUAGGUUAAAAAAAGGCAUAAAACUAUGAAUUAUUAUCCAUUUGUGUGCCUCUAUUUUUGCUUUAGAAUUAUGGAAAUGGACCCUGUGAAUUUGGGAAACACUGUUAUGUAUACACAUGGGUGAAAAACAAUCUAACAUUGUGUAAAUUAAAAUACUUUUUUUGAAGUUGAAAAACAUCCAUUUGUUCUAAAUCUAUAUAUAUUACGAGUAUCUAGUACAGAAUAAGGUGUAACUUCUCAUUGAGUAAUCUUAGGUUUUACAGAUAUGUAAAGCUGAAGCAACUCUAAAGAGUAGACACUUCAGAACAGGAAGGUUCUGGUCAAUGUUGAGAGUAGACACUUUCACUGAAGGUUCUGGUGAAAUGUGGGUAACUAAUUGCUUGAAAUCUAUAAUUUGCUAUAUAGUUAACUAUUAAGUUAAAAUGUCAUUUACCAUGCCUUUUACACUAAAAGCUUUAACUUUUCUGAGAAAAUAAUAUUUUAAAUGUUCAAUUAUUUCUUCUGAGGAAAGCUACUUCUAGCAUUCUUUGUCAUGAUGUGCUUGUGUGCAGUAAGCAGAGCAUUUUCAGCCACUUACCUCUACAAUGUUCCUGUUUUUCAAUUUCUGAUUUAGAUUAUAAAAGGCAAAUGAUUAAUUUAAUUUGAUACUCAGAGUUGUGUUUACUUUUAAUGGACAAAUAUAUGUCAGAUACUUUGAUGUUUAUUGAUAUGACACCGUGUGUUUAAACAACGCAAGUAUGUCCAUGUGUUUCUUAUAGGGUACACUUGAAACUAGUGAUGUUUAUGCAGUUCACUUAUGUAACUUGAAAAUCUGGUACUAUUGCAUUCAGGACUGAAAUCUUGGAGUUUAGGUGUCUUGUCUCUCAUUUUGAAAAUAAGUGAAAGUUGAGAAUGUAAAAUCUAUAAAGUUCAUUAUUUUAACUAGGAAAAAAACACAAAUUAAUGACAGACACCAAAUUACAAAUCCAAAAAGCUCAGAGAACACCAAGCAGAAUGAAUAUUUUAAAAACAUACCUAGGAAUAUCAUAUUCAAACCGUAGAAAACCUGUAACAAAGAUAAAAUAUUAAAAUAAGGCAGAGGAAGAAACACAUUGUCUACAGAGAAACAGACAUAAGAAUUACAUUGGACUUCUGUUUAGAAUCCAUGCAAGUAAGAAGUGUUGAAAAAAUUAGAAUACAGUGGGUAUUUUUUAUCCAAGUAUUCAUUAUUUAAAACUGCAAAGUGAAAAUAAUUGUAACAAGAACAUAUUCACUAGCAAUCUGAGCACUCAUGAUAUUAGUGUCUGUUCUGGAGAGAAUUAUGUCCCCCCAGAAUUCCUAACCUGAAGCCCUAUCUCCCAGUGUGACUGUAUUUGGAGAAGGAGCUUUUAAGAAGUUAAAGGUUAAAUAGGGGCAAAAGGGUAAGGCCGUAAUCUGUUAGGACUGGGGUCAUCAUCCAAAAAGGAAGAGUCACCAGAGAUACAUAUCUCUCUCUUCUCUCUCUCUCUGCCUCCCUCCUUCUCUCUCUCUCUCCUUCUCUCCCUCUCCCCACAUACAUUUGUUAAAUUGAGGUUUUUUGUUAGAACAUAUAUAGUGGCAUUUUAAUAUAGUAUUACUCUACUUAAAACAUACACACACACACACACACACACACACACACACAAUUUUGAUAAAUUCUUUUUUGAGGAUAAGGCCGGACAUGGUGGCUCACACCUGUAAUCCCAGCACUUGGCGGGAUUAUCAUAUGAGGUGGGUGGAUCAUCUGAGGUCAGAGGUUCAAGACCAGCCUGGCCAACAUGGUGAAACCCGUCUCUAUUAAAAAUACAAAAAAUUAGCUGGGCGUGGUGGCGGGCACCUGUAAUUCCAUUUACUCAGAAUGCUGAAGCAGAAGAGUCCCUUGAACCCAGGAGGCGGAGGUUGUGGUGAGCCGAGAUUGCACCAUUGCACUCCAGCCUGGGCAGCAAGAGCAAAACUCCGUCUCAAGAAAAAUACAAUAAAAUAAAAAUAAAAAAACACAAAACUGGGAUGUGUCCCUGUCUUUUAGGCAGAUAUACUUUACCAUUACUAAAAUUGAGCUUCAGAAACAUUAAGCAUGCUACACAAACUUAGCUGGAAAUGAAUACUGAAAUGGAAGUUUGAAUCCAAGAUGAUUUCUUUUGAAUCCCAUGCUAAUGCUGUUAACUCCUAUAGACCCUUCUCAGGUGCAGCCAGAGAGACACUAGCCCACUGAUGGACGGACAGACGUGGGCAGGGUCCGUGUCACUAAACCACCCACCACUGCCACAGCUGCCUACAACAGACACAUCAGAUGACACUCCGGGCAAAUAAAUGAUUUUCACUGAGGACUUACUGGUUUUAAUAAUAGGUCCUGGUGUAGAGAAGUCCCUCAACCUAUUGUGCAAUGAGUUUUGAGAAGCGGGUAAGCUGUAUGUUUUGUGGUUUUGUUUCAUAAAUUCAUCUACAGGAAGACCAAUAUUGACUGAAUGAAGCUUUCAUUUAAAGAGCUAAAAUAUGCUUUGUGUUUUUAUAUGUGGAUACUACUUUAAACCUAACGACUAUUCAUUGUAUCAUAGCUUGUGAUGUAUUCUGCUCAUGGCUUUUAAGGUAAAUUGUGCCAUGAUCCACUGCCAUUCUAAUUGCUUUAACAAGUCAUUACCACACUACUGUUACAUCUUAAUUAUGCAUACAGACAGGUAGACUUGUUUUACAUAUGUGAACUAACUAGUUGUCAAAGCAAAUGCAGAUUGUAUUCUGCAAGUAAAGUCUUUUUCUCUCUGAAAUUUCUAGGGAUGUUCUUUAAGUGAAAUUCAUAUUAAAACUGAAGAUUUUAGUUACAAGAACUGAGUGCAGAUUAAAGUCUUUUGUGAUUCAAACAUAGUCAAGAGUACAACUGUGAUAUUUCAUGGAAGUUAUGCAAUAAAAUGUCUCUAACCUGCGAACAAAUCUAUCAAGCAGACGGCACAGUACUGAAUUUGAAACCAGAAAUACUGGGUUUUUAUAUAAAUGCUUCAUAGAUUUGUUUUAUGAUAAAGGGCACAUAACUCUCCUAAACCUCACACCACCUCUUGAAUAGGUAUAAUAAGUCCACAUCAAUGCUGAUGCCUUAGCUAUUAUUAAACUCUUACAGUAUGAUGUAAAGUGAAAGUACAAUGUAAGAUCAUUCCUAGGCCAACUUUGACCAGUUUUAUACAGAAACAUGUGCCAACUUUUCUGUUUGCAAGGAUAAUAUCAAAGCAAACACCAGAAAGUUAUAUCUUUGAUGCAUUUUUUCAAAAUCAUACACAUAAUACACAAACCAAAGACAAAUGAUGAAUAUUACGUCAGAAAAUAUAAAGUCUUCCCCUUUCUUCUUUUGCCAAGAAAGUCCAAUAUUUUCACCAUUUUUAUGCACACAAUCAACUUUAUUUAAGCUGGAAGUUAAUGUCUCAUUGUUUUCAUUGUUCUAAAUAAACACCUUUUCCCUUGAGUAUUGCUCUAAAAAUUUUGAA